GGAGAUGGGAUGUCCAUGCAGCUAAGGAAUUCUAUAACCUUCUCAGCUCCUAGUGAAGUGUCCUGAAGGGCAUAUGCCAGGGCCAUGUUUGAUGCUGAUGCUUUGCGUCCAGGACCCCCUUGAUGAAUUUCUUGGAAUAGGGCAAACUCGGUUUGAUGGACGUGGCCGCAGAAUGCAGGUUGAUCCGCUCUCACCGUCGCAGUCCGGAGUUUGGUAUGAAUGGCUGUCGAGACUUGGUUUGGUGACCAGGGCAUGAUCUGUUGAAUUCAGCCUGACAAAUGAUCUUCGACCAGAAUUUGGCUGUUUUUCCAUCUUGAAGCCGUGGCUAUUUCCUUGAUGAAAUCCUCCUUGCCUUGGGAGCUUCCUCUUGCAGAGUUGCUUCCCUUUGUUCCAGGGAACCAUAUUUUUCUUAAACAUGAUGGAGAUCCAGUCAUCACUGAAAAGGGCCAUAACUCUGCUGUUCAGAUGACAAAUCCAAUGAGACUUCAGAGGGGUGUGUAGUAUGGCUUUAGAAGAUUCUGUGCCAAUUUUCAUCAAAAUCAAAGAAGGUUAGUGUCUUUAUUAGGUUACAGGAUAC